GCUCUUGUAGCUCAGCCUGGAUAGAGUGUUUCCCUCCUAAGGAAAAAGUCGCAGGUUCAAAUCCUGCCAAGAGCG
rnacentral:tRNA from 1 species